rnacentral:rRNA from 1 species
GGCGAACGCUGGCGGCGUGCUUAACACAUGCAAGUCGAACGGAAAGGCCCUGCUUUUGUGGGGUGCUCGAGUGGCGAACGGGUGAGUAACACGUGAGUAACCUGCCCUUGACUUUGGGAUAACUUCAGGAAACUGGGGCUAAUACCGGAUAGGAGCUCCUGCUGCAUGGUGGGGGUUGGAAAGUUUCGGCGGUUGGGGAUGGACUCGCGGCUUAUCAGCUUGUUGGUGGGGUAGUGGCUUACCAAGGCUUUGACGGGUAGCCGGCCUGAGAGGGUGACCGGCCACAUGGGGACUGAGAUACGGCCCAGACUCCUACGGGAGGCAGCAGUGGGGAAUAUUGCACAAUGGGCGGAAGCCUGAUGCAGCAACGCCGCGUGCGGGAUGACGGCCUUCGGGUUGUAAACCGCUUUCGCCUGUGACGAAGCGUGAGGGACGGUAAUGGGUAAAGAAGCACCGGCUAACUACGU